AAAAAAAAAUAAUAGUAAUAUAUGGAAAUUAAACUGGCCAGCAUUUGAAAGAACGAAUAAAGAAGAAAAGACUGCUACAACAGUAUAGAGACUGCCUCCCCCUAGGACCCUUUCUUCAACAUCAGAAGGGGAGAAAAAAAAAGGAACACUCAUCCAGAAUCUGAAUUCUGUCACCCCAGAUGAAACAGGACUAAGCUGGCAUGCUUCCCUUAGGAGAAAAAGCCUUUUACCUGAGUGGUGAGUGGGGCAGGGCCCUAUUUAAGACACAAGAGGACAAGCCCCUCCCCUCUGGUAGGGGAGUGCCGUGCACACAGCCUCCUGUUCCUAAUCCCUCCUCCCACAGCAGGAGGCACACAAGUGCAUCACUUGGCACAGGAGUGGGGGCCAGGAGUGGUCGGCCCACUUGCCAACUGCCUUAAAAAGGAAGACCAGGGAUGUCAGGAUGAAGGAGUGGAACCCAAAGGGAGAUGCCAUCAUGAGGAACCAAUGAGGGAUCUGUGAGUAGGGAGGCGCCGGGGAGGAGGGGUAGAAGGAUGAAUCCUGGGAGAUCAACAUCUCCUGUGAGGGAAAUAACACAGUGGAGCCAGGUUCUAAGUCCAAAUCUAGGCCUGACCAGGAACCUGAGCCACACCAGACACCAAUCACCCAGCCAGAACCUGGGCCAGAAAAGGCAUCUACAGCCCUGACAGCAUCUAAGACUCAGCAGGAACCCAACACCCAACAGGAGCCUGCCUCACAGCAAAGACCCCUCACUCAGCAGGAGCCCCUUGUUGAACAUGAAGCUGAAUCCCAGCAGGAGCCAAAACCCAACAAAAAAAAAUGCUUUGCUGCAGGAAUUUCUUGCCGCACAGGAGCCUGCACCACAGCAAUCACCUCCCACCCAAGGAUGCCCCUCACUCAACAGGAAGCUGCCUUGCAGCGGAGACCUGGGCCAAGAAUAGAAUCUAGAAGUCAACAGGAACCACACUUGAGACAGGGAUGUGCAGCCCAGACAGGAUCUGGCCCAGGAGAGCCACUUCUAGCUCAGCAAGAAGCUGGAUCAACACCUCCAGACCAGCCUAGACAUGGACCCCAAAAUGGACCACCUGCCCAGAUUGAAUCUAUGUCCCAAGAGACACCAGGACAGUCAGACCCUACAGCCCAGCCAACAGCUCCAGCCCAGGGAGCCAAAUCCCAGCAGGGAUCUUUCAUGGAGUGGGGAUUUCUGUCAGAACUGAAGGAACUGUCCUCACAGCAACCAGGCUCAGAGAGGAAGACAUGCUUUGAGUGCGUCGCAGAUCCGGAUUCAGAAUCAGAUUAGGGGUCUCUGUUAGGGACCGAUUUGCUAGCCACGAGGGGUGGGACAGUACAGUGGCCCAGGAAACGAAGCUCAUCUUCAAGGGGAAGUCUGGUUAUGGAGUGAUGUCAGGAUAUGGUGGGACAUCAGCACCUGGGAGGAACAGCCCUAGCAAGAAGCACAGACACUACCGACACACGAGUGAGUGUGAGCCUGGGGGACAGGGAGCCUCCCAGGACAGUCAUUCAUUCAGUCAGGGGUACUAAGGACCACCGGUAUGUCAGUUAGCCCGGGUGAUCCCUCCCCAGUCCUGCCAGACAAAGAGCCCCAGCCCCAGUGACGGAUGAGGAAGCUGACGCCUAGAGAAGAGAAGGCUGUGCCUGAGGCCCAGCCAGGACCCAAGCCAGGGUGGGAUUUAUUCCCCUGCAACAGGCUGCCCCCCACGGAGGAUUGGGGGGCAAUCACACAGAAGUGGGCAAGGGCUCCGGGCUGGGGUCCAGGAAACCAGGGAAGCUGCCCUCCUGCCAGUAUCCACCCAUCCGUCCCCAAACCACCCAGCACAGCCCUGUGCAGACACCGCCACAGGCACUGGCGACACAGGCUGACGCGAACCCUUACCCUCGGGGGUUCCGUCCUGACUUAGGAUCCUGAGCUCCCAGGAAGACACCGCUCCCCGGCCAGGCUGCCCCCCAGGGGAGUCGCAGGCCAGCCAGGCUCAUGGCCUUGGGGGUGUUCUCAGGAAGGGAGCCUGCGAGAGGGGCUGUGGGGUCCGCCAAAGUCCGGGCAAGGUCGGGGCUGGAUGGAGGGGGCAGCGGAGGGGGGGACGGGCCAGGACUCGGCGGCCGCCAGCUCUCCCUCCCCUCCUCCGAAGCGGGCAGGGGCCCGGCGGUGCAGGCUCAGCUCCCGCUCAGGCCCCGACCCUCCUUCCCUGGGCUCAGAAGCCCGCCAUGCAGAAGGCAGGCGCGCAAGUUCCAUCCGCGGACAGAGGGGUCCCUCGUUGAAGCGGCCUGAGGGCAAACAGGGCAGCCCAGUCGGGCGAGUCCGCAGGCCGCCAUGCUGCUCUCGCCGAGGCCUGUCCUCCCGGAAGGGCUGCGUCUCUGAGGGCGGAGGAGAAGUCGGAACGGGAGUCUCUCAGGGCUGCUCGCCGGCAUUGCGAGGGCGGGGAGGAGGGUCAGGAGGGAAAGAAGGUCCCAGUUCUGCUUUUUCCGGCGCUGACGAUGAAGAGCUGUUUCUUCAGGCCUCCAGAACCCAGGCUCGAGGGACGCCCUCUCCACAGCGCCGCCACAGACCAGGCCGCUUCCCCUCAGGCGCCCGAGACGCAGUUGACUGUGUGCGCAUGCGCGAGCCUCGAGCGUCGCCUGUUUCCCGCCUUUUCACAGGCACGCGCCCCUCCCUCUACCGCCGCUCCUCCCUGCGGGCCGCGCGUGGCUUGGGGCUAGUGCGCAGGCGCAGAGUAUUCUCCUUCCCCUCCCUCACUAUUAUCGCGGGGAGGGAGAAAGCAAAGAACCCUGAGGAAGAGCAAUGAGAGAACUAGGAGACAAAGAGCGGCGGGGGGGGGGGAGGGGGGGAGUAGAGGCAGGGCUUCCUUCUCCAAAGGCUGGCAGGCAAGCCACGCCUCCAGCGCUGGGGCCCCGCCCCGGCUUUCAAUCGCCGCAGGACCUAGCCCUCCCCCCACCCCCAAGCGGAGGCUCCGCGGCGCCCCACUCUCCCAAACCAGCGGGCGGGCUGGGUCGCGUUGUAGGAUCCCUUCGUGGGAAGGCUCCACAGGUGAAUGGAUAUGCCUCACUGGGGACAGUGCAGGCGGGAACCUCUGCUUCACCGUGUCCCUUUGGGCAGCAGCCUAUGGAGUGGGGAUACCAGAUUACCAGAUGGCAUCAUGGCAGCCUACCCGGCCACAAUGCUGCAGUCUACCACCUCUCCUUCCCGCCUCCUGAGCCUCAUGGACCCCCUGCUGCCCCUCAGCGUGCUCUCCAAGUGUGUCAGCGCCUAUGCUGAUUGGUUAUGGAUUAUUUGCAUCGACAUUUCUUGUCAUAGUCACGGCAGGAUUUCAGAGAAACCCACUGGAGACCACCUGGAAUCUACACUGAACCAGCAUUUGGUACCAAUAGGGGUCAUUGAGCAUCCCUGGAUCACUGCAUUCUUCAGGUGACCCUGACCUGCCAGAAGGACCUAGAGAGGGUAGAGGAAAUGUUCUUCCUCCCCUAGUGUUUGGCAACUUGGAUGAGAUAAAACUUCACUGGCUGGACACUGCUCACUCCUGGACUACUGCACCUGAGAGAUCCUGGACCCCUGAUAAGAGCCAGCAGGAGAAUUUGGAAACUUUAAUGAGAGGAGGCUCAGCACAUAGCAAGGAAGGGCAGCAGUGCUUGUGAGCCUUUCUGGGGCAGAAGCUCAUCUCACAGAGGGAAGGUCAGAGCAGGCAGCAGACGCCAUGGAGACCCCUUCAGCCACCGCCCACAGAGGGCACAUCCUACAUGGGCUCCUGCUGGCAGAGCCAGUGUUAAAGCCCUUCAUCCGAGUCAGCAUAGGACAUAAGGACCCCAGUCACAGAACAUAAGGACCCCAUGGAUCUGAUCUGCCUCACAAAUGACUCUGGGAUCUCCAUCCAGUGUUUCUUCAAUGACCAGAGUCUGCAGCUCACAGAGAGAAUGACGCUAUCCCAGGACAACAGCACCCUCACCAUAGAAUGUGUCAGGAGGGAGGAUGCUGGGGGUUAUCAGUGUGAGGUCUCCAACCCGGUCAGUUCCAGCAAAAGUGACCUUCUCAGGUUGGAUGUGAGAUAUGAGCCUGGCCCUCUGGCUCUCUUACCCUCAUCUAUCUUAUUAAACUCUGAAUAGAUUUCUUUUUCUUAUCUGUAAAAUGAUAGUUCUGAAACACUUUUUAAGUAGAGUUGUAAUCAUCAAUGGUGAAGGUGGAAAUGCCAUAGAAGACUUGCAUUGAGUCAAUAAACACAAAACAAUGUGAACUGACUUUGUCAUUAUUGUCACAUUCUUAAGGUCACAUUCCACUCCAGAUCGCAGCACUUGUGGGUCUCACUGGCACCAUCUCCACAGUGGAAGGACAGGCAGUGGCUUUGCAAUGAGGGGUGGGAGCACAUGAUAACCUCUCAGGAAUCACAGCUCUAUCCCUCCUCCAGGGGGAGGCAUGGAUGGCACCAGGACUAUGACACAGACAAUGGGAAUAGACAGGAGGACAUCCAUGUGGAUUUCAACACUGAUCUCUUUCUCCCCAUCUGAUUCCUCUCAAAGAAUUCCUGAAGUCUUUCUGAGUAUCCUUAUUUUCAUGGCAAUAGACUUAUUGUGUGGGAUCAGUACAACCCUGUCCUCCUUGUUACUAGAAUAUCAAUAGAAAACUUGCUGGUAGACCCUCAGCUCUGAGUCAAAUGUCCUAGUGGAAAACGAUGCCCAUGGGAUCCGAUAUGACCCACACUUUAAGGAGCUAAGGUUGACUUGAUGGGUAUUUUGGGGAUCUGGAGAAGAAAAGACGUCACUCAAAGCUGUAGAGACUGCAGGUGAGUCCUGAUGUCCAGGCUUCUUAGUGUCAAGAAGCUGUUAAAAGUCCCAUCUGAGGUUCCUUAGGAAAACCUGCAUCAGAGGAAACUGUGUGGUGAGUGUGCAAUCCCACAGCACCUGUGCAAAUAAUCAGGCCAAAUGGAGUGAGAGCAGCCUUGUUCCAGCAUCAAGAACACUCUUCCUUGGAGAUGAUCUUUGUUCAAAAGGAAAGUGACCGUUGGAGAAAUGUUGUGUUUCCAUGGAAAAGUCCAGCAAGCAGAAUGUUGUGAUGAUCAGAUUGUGGCCCUCUUCACUGUUUCUCUGCUGUUUUGCAUCUCUGUACAAACUGCAGGGAACUGGUGGAGACGCAGACUGGGUUUUAGCUGAUAGAGAUGGAGUUGUGUUUCCCUCCUCCUGUGCAGAAGGCAGUUGACCUAGAGGCCUGAUAUUCCCCUCAGACUCACUCAACUUCAGACAGUUCUUCCUCACUUUAGGCCUCUGGCCUCCAUUUUCUCAGAGCAUUUCCUUUAGAAAUGUAAUUGCAAUCUGGCAUUGCAGAUUCUUUCUCUGCAAUUUUGAAAUGUAUAUAAGUCUCCUUCAAAUUUUCUUCCCAGUUUUAGGACCCAGGGGAUGUCUUUCUCAAGGGCCUGGGCCCAUCCCUUUGAAACGUAAUCCUCCUGGGAGAUCCUGCCCCUGCCUCCCAGUCUCUGAGGGAGGGCAGGAGCCUAACUUGGGUGGAUCCCUUUACAACCAGGGUAUAACACUACCUCCUGUCAGAAUUUCAUGAGAAGUUUUACUUUCCUUUGGGUAAGACUGAUUAGUAAACACAAGUGGCCCUCAUUUGCCUCAACCUGCUUUUAAAAUCUCUCCAGCCUUCUGUUUCAGGGGUUAAGUUCAGUCUCUCCUCUAUUGUGCUGGUCUUGAAUAAAGUCUUUCUGCCUCUUUAA